CGAUUCAACACACCCUUUUCCGACGCCGUUUUAUCGUCUUCUCCAAGCUCCUGCAGUCACUUCUGAAACUCCAACCUCCAGGUCAGUGUUCAUAGCUUUUCUCUGUAAUUGCAUCUGCCAUCGCAAUGUAUAUUUUGUCUUAAUUCUUCCUUUAUGUUAUUCUUUUAAUUAGAAUUAGGUUUGGAUUUUUUUUCAUCCUUUCAGUAUUUUAUACUAAUUUUUGUUUGUUUGUCGAAAUUUUUGUUUAAUUGGAGAAAAAUAUCGUUGGGUUUGGUCCCUUACACUCGAUUUUUAUUUUGUUUUUUUUUAAUAUCGCAAUAAUUAAGGAACUGUCAAUAGUGAUUAUUUAAUCUGAUUUACUGGCUUUCAUAUUUCUGUAUAUCACUUUUUCGGAGGAAGUUCGAUCAUCUGAAAGUUACAUUGCAGCUCAAUUGUUAAUGGAAGCUACCAAAUGCCAUUAUUUUUUAUACCCUAUUUUUGUUGCUCCAACGGAAAGACGGGACACAGAACCGAGCGCAAUGGCGUUUUAGGAUUCAUAUAGCUGACCCCACUUAGUGGGAAAAGGCUUUGUUGUUGUUGUUGUAUUGAGUUUUGUUGCUCUGUUUUGUGGUGGGUCUUGAAUCUUAACUUGUGUUAUACUUAUUAUCUGAAAUUCGUAAUGCUGUGUAAAGCGGUCUGCCCUCGUGAUCUCGUGAGGCUGGCGGGAUUUCGCUUUCCAUUUUACCUCUUUGGUGGUUGUACUUUGGUUUGUUCUGUUUCUUGUUUUACAAACUAAGAUAAGAGGCAUAAUUUUGCAUUGUUGGUUUCCUUUACCCGCUAACUUGUUUCAUAUAUGUUGUAUUUCAAUAUAUUUCUCAUAUAACUCAGCUUGCUUGCUGGCUAGAUUGUAGGGUUAAUUGACGUUCUGCGUUUUCUAAAUUUUUCUUUUCUAUGUUGUUUUCUGUGAAGAAUGGAAAACACGAUCAAGCAUGCUAUUGUGAUCAAGGUUAUGGGACGAACUGGAUCUCGUGGGCAGGUGACUCAAGUGAGAGUUAAGUUUCUGGAUGACCAGAACCGUUUCAUCAUGAGGAACGUCAAGGGACCAGUCAGGGAGGGGGAUAUCCUUACCCUGCUCGAGUCAGAGAGGGAGGCAAGAAGGUUGCGGUAAU
rnacentral:lncRNA from 1 species